ACGCGCUCUGGACCUUCGCGGCCGUAAAAUCCGGCGCUCACCGAAUCGCUCGCUCGGCGGUUUGCGUGUUGCGCCCGGUGGCCCCGUGGUCUUAAGCACAAGCCGCGCCGUUGUCCGUGUUCGUCUCGGGACGUCCGCGACGCCGCCUUGCUCUCGGCGGCGGCCAAAUUUCCUCUCCGUCACCGCUAUGCGGGACCCGGCUCGCUCUCGCUAACGGGCCCGCUUAUAACCAGCUUCAGGGUGACGGGCGGAGGAGAGAAGCUUACGCUGACGCUCGAUCGACGAGUCGGCGCCCGUACGAAAAAAAUUGGAAAAAAAAUAACCGUGCGUUGCGCGUUAUUUUUUUUUUUCCUUUCUUUCCGACCUCAGAUCGGACGAGAUUACCCCCUGAAUUUAAGCAUAGAAA
rnacentral:misc_RNA from 1 species